GGAGACCCCAGCCCACGGAGAAAGCCCAUAGAGACACACUGGUUCAGCUCAGUUUUGGCAUCUCCCCAGCCAGAUAGCCUGGCACGCAGUUGUCAGAGGGUCUCGGGUCCUGGCGCCUAGCCAGUGGCAUUCAAAGCUGGGGCUUCGAACGCUGAUGCUGAGUCAGAGCCCAGCCAUCCCCACUCCCGACCUUCGAAAUUCCUGAGGCACGGAACUCAUGAGGUCAACAAAGCAGCCAUUGUAUCGGACGCUAAGUAUGGAAGGAGUUUGCUGGCCGUAACGGGGGCACCGGGGGUAGAGCCUGCCGGUUUGAUUCCUUUCUUUUAAUCUUCAUAUAUGCGGUGAAGCGACUUGCCGCCAUAGGCAGGCCAGGCAGCAUGUUCUGUGGUCACCUUUCUUUAUCUGCCUGUGGUAAGAUGGCCUACAACCACUCCCUCCGAUCUCCUUGUAUGCAGUGCCCUCCCUGGGACUCUGCUGAGUCAACUCAUCCUACCUGGCUGUAACUUUGUAUCCUUUGAAGGACAUCUCCUCCAGCCCCGUGCCAUAAAAGUUCAACAGUGGGUAAAACCCCACCUGCAGGGUCUGUGAAUGUCACAGAAGGGUCCCUAAAGAUCUUUCGCAGAGUCUUCUUCCUCCUGGUUCUGCUUUUCAAACCUGCAUGCUGACCCCACGACUUGUUUAUACCAACAACUCAUCUCUGUUUUGGAAGAGACCUUACUUAUCUCUUCCCCACCUAUUUGUCACACUGAGAUGGAGGCCCAGAACCUACUCCCUACUAGAGCAGGAGACUGAGAGCUCUGUCCCUUCCUCCUUGCACUGGGGGCUUGGAGCCUGGAAAGAAGGAGAAGCCUUGAUGUCCUCAGAGCUCGGGAUCCAGGGCUCCUCUUGACCCCUGGUACUCUUCAGUGGUCCUCUUCUGACUGGUCAAACCCUCUCAGACACAGCACUUCAGGCCACUCGGAGAAGAAACCAGCUUUCUGAGAACUGCACAGAUACUAAACAGACGGGAGCCAGUUGAACCUAGAAAGAAGAGUGGCCUCUGACCCAGUGAAAACAAGUCUUACAGAAACACCUUCUCACCUGCGGCUAUGUAAGGCUUGGCCAAACAUCCGGAGUUGGAGUCCAGCAAGGGACACAUGCUGCACCUUACCUGGAACCCCCACGACCUUCUUAGUGUGUGCCUUGCUGAGGAUACAAGGAUUUGGGAGCCAGAGCAGGACCGCAGAAUGCAUUGCCGAGUGACGAGUGAUGGUUACCCAGCAGCGCCAGCAGCCUGUUAAAUCACAGAUCGGAUAGUAUUAAAUUCACUGUACUUUUCUUGUCUCUAGGUAGCCAAAAAAGAAAACAUGAAGAAAAACAAAACAGGCCCGAGGGUAAAGCACAGCGUUAGGUGUGGCAUCUGUGUCUCGGGGCAUCAAAGGCUAUAACUGGGAGGGUAAGGAUGAAGCUCUGCAGCCCAGAUAGGGCGAGCUUUCUAAAAUGGAUUAUCAGGAUCAGAUGGUGGCGUCCGCAGAACCAGAAGUCCUGCAGGGGAAAACCGCUCACCACCAGGCUCCUGUGAACAAGAAAGGCGUGGGGUGCUGGAGAAAACCCAGCUGAAGGCUGCGGGAGGAAGAAGUUAGCUACAAAACGAAAGUAGGCGAGAAAGAUCAGGGUCUAAGAUUUUCCUGGCCAAGCGCAAACAAAGGCCUACACUGGUUCCCCCGCUGAUUUGUUUCUUGCCAGCAUUUCCCAAGCACAACGCAGAGCUCUUCAUCCAGGUGGUCUCUCAAGGCUGUGCCUCCCUUGACCUGGGCCUUCUGGCCUCUGGCCCAAGGGAAAUAUAGGUUUGAUGCUGGGCCAUUGUUUCUUUUCUCUGUGUUAAGAGAGAAGAAAGACAUGGUGUGAGUCCCCGCCAAGGAUAGUGAAGGACAAUGAUGCCUUUGAAAAGCUUGUUUCUCUGGAAGGACAGUGGGGUAGGGAGAACACAGGAGGCAGCUGGAGAGGAGCAUUUGGUCACUGUGCCUCCUUUGACAGAGAUCCCUGAGCCUACAACGGAGCAGCAGGGCAAGGAAUCUUCACCAAGUGACUUGUCACCAUGAGUAACGGUGGCUUUUCUGCCGGGCGGAAGCCAGUGAGUAGCCAGUGUGGUAAAGCAGUGGCUAUCAGCGCCUGCUGGUUAGCCGCCUUUGGAUUUGGCAAGGAUUUCUUGGAUCUGACACCCAGUACACGAACAACAAAAGCAAAAACAGACAAAUUUAAAAUCCGCGAACCUGUCAAUAACCAAAAGACAGCCUGUGGAAAGAGAGAAAUACUGCUAACUACACUCAUGAUAAAGGGCUAAUAUAUCCGAGUGUAUUCAAAACUCCCACUGUGAGGGGCUGACGGGGGAUCAGCUCCACAGUGCCACCUGCAGCAGCAGCCUAGGGAACGUGGCUCAGGGACCACAGACAGCCCCUGUAUGACCCACGCACAAGAGGCAUCCAAAGGGAAGUCACAGACCCAGGCUACAGGACAUAAGAAGCUCUUUCUCGGUGGUGUGGAGUUUCAGGCUGCAGGAGAAGGAGUACCAGAGCCUGUGGCAAGGCAGUGUCCUGUGGCUGACAACACAUGGCCCACAUAGAAAUAAACUUUAUGUUGUAUUUUAAGACCUGGUUUUGCAAGUUAUUUAUUGGGGGCUGGAGAAAUGGCUGCUCUUCCA